rnacentral:rRNA from 1 species
GCGUGAUGACGAGGCACUACGGUGCUGAAGCAACAAAUGCCCUGCUUCCAGGAAAAGCCUCUAAGCAUCAGGUAACAUCAAAUCGUACCCCAAACCGACACAGGUGGUCAGGUAGAGAAUACCAAGGCGCUUGAGAGAACUCGGGUGAAGGAACUAGGCAAAAUGGUGCCGUAACUUCGGGAGAAGGCACGCUGACACGUAGGUGAAGUGAUUUACUCAUGGAGCUGAAGUCAGUCGAAGAUACCAGCUGGCUGCAACUGUUUAUUAAAAACACAGCACUGUGCAAACACGAAAGUGGACGUAUACGGUGUGACGCCUGCCCGGUGCCGGAAGGUUAAUUGAUGGGGUCAGCGCAAGCGAAGCUCCUGAUCGAAGCCCCGGUAAACGGCGGCCGUAACUAUAACGGUCCUAAGGUAGCGAAAUUCCUUGUCGGGUAAGUUCCGACCUGCACGAAUGGCGUAAUGAUGGCCAGGCUGUCUCCACCCGAGACUCAGUGAAAUUGAACUCGCUGUGAAGAUGCAGUGUACCCGCGGCAAGACGGAAAGACCCCGUGAACCUUUACUAUAGCUUGACACUGAACAUUGAGCCUUGAUGUGUAGGAUAGGUGGGAGGCUUUGAAGUGUGGACGCCAGUCUGCAUGGAGCCGGCCUUGAAAUACCACCCUUUAAUGUUUGAUGUUCUAACGUGGACCCGUGAUCCGGGUUGCGGACAGUGUCUGGUGGGUAGUUUGACUGGGGCGGUCUCCUCCUAAAGAGUAACGGAGGAGCACGAAGGUUGGCUAAUCCUGGUCGGACAUCAGGAGGUUAGUGCAAUGGCAUAAGCCAGCUUGACUGCGAGCGUGACGGCGCGAGCAGGUGCGAAAGCAGGUCAUAGUGAUCCGGUGGUUCUGAAUGGAAGGGCCAUCGCUCAACGGAUAAAAGGUACUCCGGGGAUAACAGGCUGAUACCGCCCAAGAGUUCAUAUCGACGGCGGUGUUUGGCACCUCGAUGUCGGCUCAUCACAUCCUGGGGCUGAAGUAGGUCCCAAGGGUAUGGCUGUUCGCCAUUUAAAGUGGUACGCGAGCUGGGUUUAGAACGUCGUGAGACAGUUCGGUCCCUAUCUGCCGUGGGCGCUGGAGAACUGAGGGGGGCUGCUCCUAGUACGAGAGGACCGGAGUGGACGCAUCACUGGUGUUCGGGUUGUCAUGCCAAUGGCACUGCCCGGUAGCUAAAUGCGGAAGAGAUAAGUGCUGAAAGCAUCUAAGCACGAAACUUGCCCCGAGAUGAGUUCUCCCUGAGACUUUAGGUCUCCUGAAGGAACGUUGAAGACGACGACGUUGAUAGGCCGGGUGUGUAAGCGCAGCGAUGCGUUGAGCUAACCGGUACUAAUGAACCGUGAGGCUUAACCUUACA